rnacentral:rRNA from 1 species
CCUACGGGAGGCAGCAGUGGGGAAUAUUGGACAAUGGGCGAAAGCCUGAUCCAGCCAUGCCGCGUGUGUGAAGAAGGCCUUCGGGUUGUAAAGCACUUUCAGUGGGGAAGAAAGCCUUGGGGCUAAUACCCUCGAGGAAGGACAUCACCCACAGAAGAAGCACCGGCUAACUCCGUGCCAGCAGCCGCGGUAAUACGGAGGGUGCGAGCGUUAAUCGGAAUUACUGGGCGUAAAGCGCGCGUAGGCGGUCUGAUAAGCCGGUUGUGAAAGCCCCGGGCUCAACCUGGGAACGGCAUCCGGAACUGUCAGGCUAGAGUGCAGGAGAGGAAGGUAGAAUUCCCGGUGUAGCGGUGAAAUGCGUAGAGAUCGGGAGGAAUACCAGUGGCGAAGGCGGCCUUCUGGACUGACACUGACGCUGAGGUGCGAUAGCGUGGGUAGCAAACAGGAUUAGAUACCCUAGUAGUC